rnacentral:rRNA from 1 species
GACGAACGCUUGCGGCGUGCUUAACACAUGCAAGUCGAACGGAAAGGCCCUGCUUUUGUGGGGUGCUCGAGUGGCGAACGGGUGAGUAACACGUGAGUAACCUGCCCUUGACUUUGGGAUAACUUCAGGAAACUGGGGCUAAUACCGGAUAGGAGCUCCUGCUGCAUGGUGGGGGUUGGAAAGUUUCGGCGGUUGGGGAUGGACUCGCGGCUUAUCAGCUUGUUGGUGGGGUAGUGGCUUACCAAGGCUUUGACGGGUAGCCGGCCUGAGAGGGUGACCGGCCACAUUGGGACUGAGAUACGGCCCAGACUCCUACGGGAGGCAGCAGUGGGGAAUAUUGCACAAUGGGCGGAAGCCUGAUGCAGCAACGCCGCGUGCGGGAUGACGGCCUUCGGGUUGUAAACUGCUUUCGCCUGUGACGAAGCGUGAGUGACGGUAAUGGGUAAAGAAGCACCGGCUAACUACGUGCCAGCAGCCGCGGUGAUACGUAGGGUGCGAGCGUUGUCCGGAUUUAUUGGGCGUAAAGGGCUCGUAGGUGGUUGAUCGCGUCGGAAGUGUAAUCUUGGGGCUUAACCCUGAGCGUGCUUUCGAUACGGGUUGACUUGAGGAAGGUAGGGGAGAAUGGAAUUCCUGGUGGAGCGGUGGAAUGCGCAGAUAUCAGGAGGAACACCAGUGGCGAAGGCGGUUCUCUGGGCCUUUCCUGACGCUGAGGAGCGAAAGCGUGGGGAGCGAACAGGCUUAGAUACCCUGGUAGUCCACGCUGUAAACGGUGGGUACUAGGUGUGGGGUCCAUUCCACGGGUUCCGUGCCGUAGCUAACGCUUUAAGUACCCCGCCUGGGGAGUACGGCCGCAAGGCUAAAACUCAAAGGAAUUGACGGGGCCCCGCACAAGCGGCGGAGCAUGCGGAUUAAUUCGAUGCAACGCGUAGAACCUUACCUGGGUUUGACAUGGAUCGGGAGUGCUCAGAGAUGGGUGUGCCUCUUUUGGGGUCGGUUCACAGGUGGUGCAUGGCUGUCGUCAGCUCGUGUCGUGAGAUGUUGGGUUAAGUCCCGCAACGAGCGCAACCCUUGUUCACUGUUGCCAGCACGUUAUGGUGGGGACUCAGUGGAGACCGCCGGGGUCAACUCGGAGGAAGGUGGGGAUGACGUCAAGUCAUCAUGCCCCUUAUGUCCAGGGCUUCACGCAUGCUACAAUGGCUGGUACAGAGAGUGGCGAGCCUGUGAGGGUGAGCGAAUCUCGGAAAGCCGGUCUCAGUUCGGAUUGGGGUCUGCAACUCGACCUCAUGAAGUCGGAGUCGCUAGUAAUCGCAGAUCAGCAACGCUGCGGUGAAUACGUUCCCGGG